rnacentral:sRNA from 1 species
UUUUAGCCCUGAUUGAAAUGGCAUCCUUUUUUUUAAAACUACGUCAUUGCGAGGAACGAAGCAAUCUGUUAAUUAAUAAUGAGAUUGCUACAGUUUACAAAAAAGUAAACUUCGCAAUGACAGAAGAAAAAAGAUAUAGUUGAAAGCAGGAAACAGC